rnacentral:rRNA from 1 species
CAUCUGCGGUUAAUCUGUUUUCUUUGCUUUUAUGUGGAUAGUGCGUAUUUAUUUAUGUUCAAUGUUAGGUUAAAUUUUUUUGUGUUAGUGUUUAGUAAGUAAAUUUUGUGGUGAUAUAUGUUAUGACAGGGAUUAGAUACCCCAUUAAUGUAUUUUUAAAAUGCUGUCCUGGUUUUGUAACUAAAAUGGUUUGGCAGUGAGCGAUUCUUGUUAGGGGAAGAUGCAUAGUAAAGGAUGGUCCACCUAUUAUUUUGCUCUUGUUAUGUUGGUGUAUAUCUGGUUUGAUAUUAUCGUUUAAUGGUUUGAGUUUGUGUAGUUUUAGUUAAGCCAAGUCUAUGUGCUGCUUAUAGGAGUUUUUGUGUGUUACAUUAAUAAGGGUGUUAUUGUAAUAUGAUAUUAUUUAGGACUUAAUAGUAAUGUUUAAAUAAGUUUGUUGAUGUGAAAUAGGUUUAGCUCAGGUAC